rfam:Hordeum vulgare subsp. vulgare, WGS project CAJW01000000 data, contig: morex_contig_47466
AGAAUACUCCCUCAGUCCCAAAAUUCUUGUUAUAAAUUUGUUAAAUAUGAAUGUAUCUAGUCACAUUUUNNNNNUUAGAUACAUCCAUUUCUAGAUAAAUUUAAGAUAAUAAUUUUGGUACGGAGGGAAUAUUAC